GAGGAAUCAAUUAGUGCAUCUGACCAUGAAGAUGUACAUGAUGAAGAGAAGCAAGAUGAGGAAGAUGAGGAAGAAGUACCACUCAUCCAUUCAAUUAGGCCAUCCUCUAAAUUGAGAUCACUUAGAAUUUCAAGAGAUGAAAAAAAAGGGAGUUCUACAGGAAAAGCUGCAGGGCCACCGCCUACAUGACUUGAACCGACCGUCUGAAUUCUGCAUCGCAUGACUUAUCAUGGUGUACAAAUAUCCCCAAAU
rnacentral:misc_RNA from 1 species